rnacentral:rRNA from 1 species
GACCCUUUUUGCCUUGGGGGGGUUUGGAAAAAAAUUUCGGUCCAAGGAAGGAAUUCGGGGCCCUUUCAGCUUUUUGGGGGGGGUAAAGGGCUCCACAAGGCGAAAAACGGGUAACCCGCCCUAAGAGGGUGACCGCCCCCCCUGGAUUUGAAACCCGGGCCCAGAAUCCUUACGGGAGGCCAGCAGUGGGGAAUAUUGCACAAUGGGCGCAAGCCUGAUGCAACGACGCCGCCUGAUGGAUGACGGCCUUCGGGUGGUAAACCUCUUUCAGUAGGGAAGAAGCGAAAGUGACGGUACCUGCAGAAGAAGCACCGGCUAACUACGUGCCAGCAGCCGCGGUAAUACGUAGGGUGCGAGCGUUAUCCGGAAUUAUUGGGCGUAAAGAGCUCGUAGGCGGUUUGUCGCGUCUGCCGUGAAAGUCCGGGGCUUAACUCCGGAUCUGCGGUGGGUACGGGCAGACUAGAGUGCAGUAGGGGAGACUGGAAUUCCUGGUGUAGCGGUGGAAUGCGCAGAUAUCAGGAGGAACACCGAUGGCGAAGGCAGGUCUCUGGGCUGUAACUGACGCUGAGGAGCGAAAGCAUGGGGAGCGAACAGGAUUAGAUACCCUGGUAGUCCAUGCCGUAAACGUUGGGCACUAGGUGUGGGGGCCAUUCCACGGUUUCCGCGCCGCAGCUAACGCAUUAAGUGCCCCGCCUGGGGAGUACGGCCGCAAGGCUAAAACUCAAAGGAAUUGACGGGGGCCCGCACAAGCGGCGGAGCAUGCGGAUUAAUUCGAUGCAACGCGAAGAACCUUACCAAGGCUUGACAUGUUCUCGUUCGCCGUAGAGAUACGGUUUCCCCUUUGGGGCGGGUUCACAGGUGGUGCAUGGUUGUCGUCAGCUAGUGUCGUGAGAUGUUGGGUUAAGUCCCGCAACGAGCGCAACCCCUCUUCUAUGUUGCCAGCACGUGAUGGUGGGGACUCAUGGGAGACUGCCGGGGUCAACUCGGAGGAAGGUGGGGACGACGUCAAAUCAUCAUGCCCCUUAUGUGUUGGGCUUCACGCAUGCUACAAUGGCCGGUACAAUGGGUUGCGAUACUGUGAGGUGGAGCUAAUCCCAAAAAGCCGGUCUCAGUUCGGAUUGGGGUCUGCAACUCGACCCCAUGAAGUUGGAGUCGCUAGUAAUCGCAGAUCAGCAACGUUGCGGUGAACACGGUCCCGGUCGAGUUUCACCCCGGCUCUGUAAGUAGUAACAAGGUAACCGUAGAUGUUUGAUCAUGGCUCAGGUAAGUCGUAACAAGGUAACCCGUAGAGUUACCGGCCCC